AGCUAAACCCAUGUGUAUCAACAGCAGGGUUCUGAGCACAUGACUGAGUGACUUAAAACCUCAGGGCUAAUUUCAGUCUCAGUCGCUACAGCCUCAUCCCUGCUUGAUCUGCAGCCACAGCGAAUUAAAUCAUGGAGAAACUGAUGAUAAAAGAAGAUACUGUUGGCCACUUUUUGUUCCUGCUUUUCGGUAUUCUCCAUAACUCAGAUGCAAACAAAGAUUUGCUUUCUGCUUUAUAGCUGACGGGCUGCAAUGUUAUGCCUGUAACAUUGUGCAUAACCAGAGGUAUGUGGACGUAGGCUGUUCCAACCCAGAAGUCAUCACCUGCUCCCACUCCCACAAGGGCUUUAAGCAUCGCUUCUGCAUCAGAACAGAAAGUGUUGCGCUGGGAGUCAUGCUGACUAGUGGCUGCGCGACAGCCCGACACUGCCACACGGAGGAGCUGCCGGGAGUCAACAUCCACUGCUGCGACUCUGAUCUGUGCAACAGCGCCACCCGCUGGCGGACAUCCACACUGCUGCCUGUUUGCUCAUUGACGUUUAAUCUGUUGUUUCAAAGGUUGCUCCUGUGGACGAAAUAACUUUGACCUUCACCACAAAAUCACGGCAGCUACGCUUCCGAUUCGAGACAUACAUACAGGAGGGAACUUGAAAAUAUAACUAUAAAAGAUGUAAACAGACCCUGGAGAAUUAUGUGUGGAUAAACCAAACCUUCACGUAUCACAUCUGAUCUUCAGUUUAAAGUUAUCUUUGGAUCAUUUUUAAAUCAUUAAAUCAUCAUCCAAAAAUAAAUAAAUAAAUAAAAUAAAUUCA
ensembl:lncRNA